rnacentral:rRNA from 1 species
UACGUAGGGUCCGAGCGUUGCCCGGAAUUAUUGGGCGUAAAGGGCGCGUAGGCGGCUGGGGAAGUCCGUGGUGAAAGCUCGUGGCUCAACUGCGAGUCGGCCAUGGAUACUCCUCGGCUCGAGCACUGUAGAGGCAGGUGGAAUUCCGGGUGUAGCGGUGGAAUGCGUAGAGAUCCGGAAGAACACCGGUGGCGAAGGCGGCCUGCUGGGCAGUUGCUGACACUGAGGCGCGACAGCGUGGGGAGCAAACAGG